rnacentral:rRNA from 1 species
GACGAACGCUGGCGGCAUGCUUAACACAUGCAAGUCGAACGGAACCGCCCUGCUUUGGUGGGCUGCUCGACGGGACACCGGGUAACUUACACUUGAGUAACCUGCCACUCCCCUUGGGAUAACCUCAUGAAACUGAAUCUAAUCCCGCCUAGGAGCUCCUGCUGCAUGGUGGGGCUUGGAUAGUUUCGGCGGUUGGGAAUGGACUCGCGGCCCAUCAGCUUGGUGGUGGGGUAGUGUCUUACCAAGGCCUUGACCCGUAGCCGGGCUGGGCGGGUGACCGGCCACAUUAGGACUGAGAUACGGCCCAGACUCCAACGGGAGGCAGCGGUGGGGAGGAGUGCACAAUGGGCGGAGGCAUGAUGCAGCAAAGCCGCGUGGGGGAAGACGUCCAGCGGGUUGUAAUCCGAUGUCGCCUGUGACGAAGCGUGAGUGACGGUAAUGGGUAAAGAAGCACCGGCUAACUACGUG